AACGAACGUUAGCGGCGCGCCUAACACAUGCAAGUCGAGCGAGAAGUGGCUUCGGCCAUGGUACAGCGGCGCACGGGUGAGUUACACGUAGGUAAUCUUCCCUCGAGCGGGGGAUAACCUUCCGAAAGGAGGGCUAAUACCGCAUAAGACCACGAGCUCGUAAGAGCAUGAGGUCAAAGCCGGCCUCUAUACAUAAGCACGCACUUGAGGUUGAUACUGCGGCCCAUCAGCUAGUUGGUAGGGUAAUGGCCCACCAAGGCAAAGACGGGGAGCUGGUCUGAGAGGAUGAUCAGCCACACUGGAACUGAGACACGGUCCAGACUCCUACGGGAGGCAGCAGUGGGGAAUCUUGCGCAAUGGGGGAAACCCUGACGCAGCGACGCCGCGUGAGUGAUGAAGGCCUUCGGGUUGUAAAGCUCUGUGGAGGGAGAAGAAUAAGCGCAGGUUAAUAUCCUGUGUGAUGACGGUAUCCCUUUAGCAAGCACCGGCUAACUCUGUGCCAGCCGCCGCGGUAAAAC
rnacentral:rRNA from 1 species